GUGUGUGGUUGGGGGAGACAGGCGGUGUCACCUGUGCUUAGACCAGGGGUGGUGGGUGGGUACCCCUGAGGUGGCAAGGUCACACUGCUCAUCAGAAGUUUCUCACUAGGGUCUUCUCUGGCCCAGCCUUUGACUGAAGCUGGUCUGGAGACAGGGGCGUUAGAGAAAUGACUCAUAGAUGGCCUAAAGAAGCGGGGCCACUCAAGGACCCAGGACAGAGGGAAGAGGGCCAACCCAGCUGGACCACAGGCAAACCCCAUUGCCUUUGAGAGAAAGAAGAGGACCCGGUGAAGACCAUGUUGUAGAACUCUGCUUGAGCAAAGCACCAUUGGCGUAUUAGACAUUCUGGGGAACUAUCUAUGUCGGUCCCAGGAAACCAUUUUCACAUAGAUGAGCAGACGUCGUGUCAUGCCAGGGCCCACGGUCACUUGACGGAACCCUUGUGAUGCUGGCCUGCAGGGGUGUGCAGCACAGACCCUGGGGAGGGCUACCACAACCUCAUGGGACUGGAUGGCGGGCAGCGAGGGGGGUCCAGUAACUGUUGGAUGCAGAAUUGAAUUCGGUCACCCGCACUGAUUUCCUGGGCUCAUCUUGGUUGGGUUCGCGGAGAUACACUCUCUGGGA
rnacentral:sRNA from 1 species